rnacentral:rRNA from 1 species
GACGAACGCUGGCGGCGUGCUUAACACAUGCAAGUCGAACGGAAAGGCCUGCAGCUUGCUGCGGGUACUCGAGUGGCGAACGGGUGAGUAACACGUGGGUGAUCUGCCUUGCACUUCGGGAUAAGCUUGGGAAACUGGGUCUAAUACCGGAUAGGACAGCUGUUUAGUGUCAGUUGUGGAAAGUUUUUUCGGUGCAAGAUGAGCUCGCGGCCUAUCAGCUUGUUGGUGGGGUAAUGGCCUACCAAGGCGUCGACGGGUAGCCGGCCUGAGAGGGUGUACGGCCACAUUGGGACUGAGAUACGGCCCAGACUCCUACGGGAGGCAGCAGUGGGGAAUAUUGCACAAUGGGCGGAAGCCUGAUGCAGCGACGCCGCGUGGGGGAUGAAGGCCUUCGGGUUGUAAACUCCUUUCGACAGGGACGAAGCGUAAGUGACGGUACCUGUAUAAGAAGCACCGGCUAACUACGUGCCAGCAGCCGCGGUAAUACGUAGGGUGCGAGCGUUGUCCGGAAUUACUGGGCGUAAAGAGCUCGUAGGUGGUUUGUCGCGUCGUCUGUGAAAUUCCGGGGCUUAACUCCGGGCGUGCAGGCGAUACGGGCUGACUUGAGUGCUGUGGGGGAGACUGGAAUUCCUGGUGUAGCGGUGAAAUGCGCAGAUAUCAGGAGGAACACCGAUGGCGAAGGCAGGUCUCUGGGCAGUAACUGACGCUGAGGAGCGAAAGCAUGGGUAGCGAACAGG